rnacentral:rRNA from 1 species
GGGAAUAUUGGACAACGGGCGAAAGCCUGAUCCAGCCAUGCCGCGUGAGUGAUGAAGGCCCUAGGGUUGUAAAGCUCUUUUACCUGGGAAGAUAAUGACGGUGCCAGGAGAAUAAGCCCCGGCUAACUUCGUGCCAGCAGCCGCGGUAAUACGAAGGGGGCUAGCGUUGUUCGGAAUCACUGGGCGUAAAGCGCACGUAGGCGGAUCUUUAAGUCAGAGGUGAAAUCCCAAGGCUCAACCUUGGAACUGCCUUUGAUACUGGGGAUCUCGAGUCCGGGAGAGGUGAGUGGAACUGCGAGUGUAGAGGUGAAAUUCGUAGAUAUUCGCAAGAACACCAGUGGCGAAGGCGGCUCACUGGCCCGGUACUGACGCUGAGGUGCGAAAGCGUGGGGAGCAAAC